GAUGAACGCUGGCGGCGUGCUUAACACAUGCAAGUCGAACGGAAAGGCCACAGCUUGCUGUGGUACUCGAGUGGCGAACGGGUGAGUAACACGUGGGUGAUCUGCCCUGUACUUCGGGAUAAGCUUGGGAAACUGGGUCUAAUACCGGAUAGGAAUCACAUGUGGGUGUGUGGUUGGAAAGCUUUUGCGGUAUGGGAUGAGCUCGCGGCCUAUCAGCUUGUUGGUGGGGUAAUGGCCUACCAAGGCGUCGACGGGUAGCCGGCCUGAGAGGGUGUACGGCCACAUUGGGACUGAGAUACGGCCCAGACUCCUACGGGAGGCAGCAGUGGGGAAUAUUGCACAAUGGGCGCAAGCCUGAUGCAGCGACGCCGCGUGGGGGAUGACGGCCUUCGGGUUGUAAACUCCUUUCGCCAGGGACGAAGCGAAAGUGACGGUACCUGGAUAAGAAGCACCGGCUAACUACGUG
rnacentral:rRNA from 1 species